rnacentral:rRNA from 1 species
GAUGAACGCUAGCGAUAGGCUUAACACAUGCAAGUCGGAGGGGCAGCAUAGAUGUAGUUUACUACGUUUGAUGGCGACCGGCGGAUGGGUGAGUAACGCGUAUGCAACCUACCCUCUACAGUUGGAUAGCCCGUUGAAAGACGGAUUAAUACGGCAUAAUAAUUUAGAUUCGCAUGUAUUUAAGUUUAAAGAAUUAUCGGUAGAGGAUGGGCAUGCGUUCCAUUAGUUAGUUGGUAAGGUAAGGGCUUACCAAGACAUCGAUGGAUAGGGGAACUGAGAGGUUUAUCCCCCACACUGGAACUGAGACACGGUCCAGACUCCUACGGGAGGCAGCAGUGAGGAAUAUUGGUCAAUGGGCGAGAGCCUGAACCAGCCAAGUCGCGUGAAGGAAGACGGUUCUAUGGAUUGUAAACUUCUUUUAUACAAGAGUAAAAAGUGUUACGAGUAACACCUUGCAAGUAUUGUAUGAAUAAGCAUCGGCUAACUCCGUGCCAGCAGCCGCGGUAAUACGGAGGAUGCGAGCGUUAUCCGGAUUUAUUGGGUUUAAAGGGUGCGUAGGCGGGAGAUUAAGUCAGCGGUGAAAGUUUGAGGCUCAACCUUAAAAUUGCCGUUGAAACUGGUUUUCUUGAGUACAGAUGAAGUGGGCGGAAUUUGUGGUGUAGCGGUGAAAUGCAUAGAUAUCACAAGGAACUCCGAUUGCGAAGGCAGCUCACUAAGUUGUCACUGACGCUGAGGCACGAAAGCGUGGGUAUCGAACAGGAUUAGAUACCCUGGUAGUCCACGCUGUAAACUAUGAUUACUAGUUGUGUGCGAUAUAUUGUAAGUGACUAAGCGAAAGCGAUAAGUAAUCCACCUGGGGAGUACGUUGGCAACAAUGAAACUCAAAGGAAUUGACGGGGGCCCGCACAAGCGGAGGAACAUGUGGUUUAAUUCGAUGAUACGCGAGGAACCUUACCCGGGCUUGAAAUAUACACGACGUACUUAGAAAUAAGUAUUCUAGCAAUAGCGUGUAUGUAGGUGCUGCAUGGUUGUCGUCAGCUCGUGCCGUGAGGUGUCGGCUUAAGUGCCAUAACGAGCGCAACCCACGUUGUUAGUUACUAACAGAUAAAGCUGAGGACUCUGACAAGACUGCCGGCGUAAGCCGCGAGGAAGGUGUGGAUGACGUCAAAUCAGCACGGCCCUUACGUCCGGGGCGACACACGUGUUACAAUGGGUGGUACAAAGGGCAGCUACCGGGCGACCGGAUGCAAAUCUCCAAAACCACUCCCAGUUCGGAUUGGAGUCUGCAACUCGACUCCAUGAAGCUGGAUUCGCUAGUAAUCGCGCAUCAGCCAUGGCGCGGUGAAUACGUUCCCGGGCCUGUACUCACCGCC